rnacentral:lncRNA from 1 species
UGAAAUGUUCUUUUACAAGUCUGUCCCAGUCUUUUACCUGUGCCCACUUUAAUGAAACAUUCCUUCAUGUGUGUGCUUCAGCAAAACACCAUCCAAUAUAAUGGACUUUCCCAAGAACCCUUAAGUUUCCAUUUCGCUCUUCCCAAAAUGAGAACCUCAAAAUGUUUUUGGUCCAUGGUAAAGAAUUAUUAUAAGAACUUAGUAAGGCCAGGUAGGGUGACACAGGGCUUUAAUGCCAGUCCUUAGAUAGUGGAGGCACUGUAGAACACAUGAGUUCCAGGCCAGUCGGGACUAUGUAGUAAGACCCUGUCCUAAAAAGAGAAAAAUGAUUGGCUAAUAAGAGAAGUCAUUAAUGCUGUAAAAGAAAUUUCCCCUAACGAGGCUUGAGAGAUGGCUCGGCAGUUAAGAGCACUGGCUGCUGUUCCAGAGGGCCCAGGUUUAAUUCCCAGCACCCACGUGGCAGCUCACAAUGUCUGCAACUCUAUUUCCAGAGGGUCUGACACCUUCACACAGACACACCUGCAGGCAGAACACCAACGCACAAAACAAUCUACAAAUAAAAAAAAAAUAAGAAAUUUCCUCUAACGGGAUUUUUUUUUCAAUAAAAAUUUCAUUUAGUGGAUCACUGUAUUGGAUUUUUCCCCCCUUAGAAAUAAAUUGUGUUAUUAAAACU